GAUGAACGCUGGCGGCGUGCCUAAUACAUGCAAGUCGAGCGAACAGACGAGGAGCUUGCUCCUCUGACGUUAGCGGCGGACGGGGGAGUAAAACGUGGAUAACCUACCUAUAAGACUGGGAUAACUUCGGGAAACCGGAGCUAAUACCGGAUAAUAUAUUGAACCGCAUGGUUCAAUAGUGAAAGACGGUUUUGCUGUCACUUAUAGAUGGAUCCGCGCCGCAUUAGCUAGUUGGUAAGGUAACGGCUUACCAAGGCAACGAUGCGUAGCCGACCUGAGAGGGUGAUCGGCCACACUGGAACUGAGACACGGUCCAGACUCCUACGGGAGGCAACAGUAGGGAAUCCUCCGCAAUGGGCGAAAGCCUGACGGAGCAACGCCGCGGGAGUGAUGAAGGUCUUCGGAUCGGAAAACCCUGUUAUUAGGGAAGAACAAAUGUGUAAGUAACUAUGCACGUCUUGACGGUACCUAAUCAGAAAGCCACGGCUAACUACGUG
rnacentral:rRNA from 1 species